rnacentral:rRNA from 1 species
CUUGAAGUCUUAGUGGCGCAGCUAACGCGCUAAGUAGACCGCCUGGGGAGUACGGCCGCAAGGUUAAAACUCAAAUGAAUUGACGGGGGCCCGCACAAGCGGUGGAGCAUGUGGUUUAAUUCGACGCAACGCGAAGAACCUUACCUGGCCUUGACAUGCAGAGAACUUUCCAGAGAUGGAUUGGUGCCUUCGGGAACUCUGACACAGGUGCUGCAUGGCCGUCGUCAGCUCGUGUCGUGAGAUGUUGGGUUAAGUCCCGUAACGAGCGCAACCCCUAUCCCUAGUUGCUAGCAGUUCGGCUGAGAACUCUAGGGAGACUGCCGGUGACAAACCGGAGGAAGGUGGGGAUGACGUCAGGUCAUCAUGGCCCUUACGGCCAGGGCUACACACGUGCUACAAUGGUGCGUACAGAGGGCUGCAAACCCGCGAGGGGGAGCUAAUCUCACAAAACGCAUCGUAGUCCGGAUCGGAGUCUGCAACUCGACUCCGUGAAGUCGGAAUCGCUAGUAAUCGCGAAUCAGAAUGUCGCGGUGAAUACGUUCCCGGGCCUUGUACACACCGCCCGUCACACCAUGGGAGUGGAUUGCACCAGAAGUGGUUAGUCUAACCUUCGGGAGGA